UGUUUACAGAUUCAAAGGAUGAGUUCAUAAAUAGUGGCUAACUGAGCUGUAAGAAAGCUUAGCAUUAAAUUGAAGAUUAAUGCAUGCUCUAUAUCUUGAUUCUCUCUUGGCAAUAGUUAUUCAAAGUCACCCUUGUCAAAAGUGUAACUUGUA